GGGAAUAUUGGGCAAUGGGGGGAACCCUGACCCAGCAACGCCGCGUGAGGGAAGAAGGUUUUCGGAUCGUAAACCUUUGUCCUUGGUGAAGAUAGUGACGGUAGCAGGGGAGGAAGCCACGGGUAACUACGUGCCAGCAGCCGCGGUACUACGUAGGUGGCAAGCGUUGUCCGGAAUUACUGGGUGUAAAGGGAGCGCAGGCGGGAGAGCAAGUCAGUGGUGAAAUGCAUGGGCUUAACCCAUGAACUGCCAUGGAAACUGUUUUUCUUGAGUGGAUCAGAGGCAAGCGGAAUUCCGAGUGUAGCGGUGAAAUGCGUAGAUAUUCGGAGGAACACCAGUGGCGAAGGCGGCUUGCUGGGGUCUAACUGACGCUGAGGCGCGAAAGUGUGGGGAGCAAACA
rnacentral:rRNA from 1 species